rnacentral:misc_RNA from 1 species
CCUAAAAUUUUGUAAAAUCUUUUUCGACAAUAAAUUCUUAAAAACAUGAGCUCGAGAGAGAGUCCUUUCCCUUGAACCCCUCCUUACUAAAAUUCUGCAAAAUCUUUUUUUUAUAAUAAAUUCUAAAAAAUAUGAAUUUAGGAGAGAGUCCUUUCCUUGAACCACAUCUUUAUAAAAUUUUGCAAAGCUUUUUACAAUAAAUUCUUAAAAAUGCGAGUUCAGGAGAGAGUUCUUUCCUUGAAUUCCCGUAGUUUCACAUUUUAUUAUGAAGCUCAUCCUUUACAAAUAUGGGAGUUCGGGAGAGAGUCCUUUUUCUUGAACUCCCUCAGUUUUACAUCUUUAUUAAGGAGCUCAUUCUUUAUAAGAUACAAGGAAUUGGGAGAGAAAAUCCCUGAUGUUGAUUUAUUUUCAUAGAAACCCUAUGAACUCUUAUUUUUAACAAAAUUUAUCAAACACAUUUCAAUGAUUGGUUCACGGAGAGUCCUUCCAAGAACCUCAAAUUUUAUAUUGGGGCCCAAUAGAGUCCUUGGAGUCCUCAUGCUAAUAUUAUGAAGGGGAGUUCUUCCUUCAGUUCGCUUUAAUCAAAUAAAAAACCAUAGUCGCAAAAAUAUUAAGUAGUUUUAAGAUGAAAUGAUGUGGGUAAAGGAUUUAUAGGUAAUUAUGCCGAUUAUGAGACCUUCCUUCAUUAACUGAGAGUCCUCAUUA